rnacentral:sRNA from 1 species
AGAGGUGGCUGUCUUGUACAGGUCCCACAGUGCGAGCCUCCACCCCACGCCAGAGCAACGUGAAGCUGUGAGCAAAUUCAUUGGCGAAUGCAAGAUCCUUUCACCUCCUGAUAUCAGCCAUUUUGCAACAUCGCUCGUGGACAAUUCUCUGCCAUUGUUGAGGGCGGGCCCCAGUGACAGCAACCUUGACGGAACGGUGACAGAAAUGGCCAUUCAUGCUGCAGCCGUCCUUCUGUGUGGACAGAAUAAACUCUUGGAGCCCCUAAAGAAUCUGGCCUUCUCCCCAGCCAACAUGGCGCAUGCUUUUCUUCCAACCAUGCCUGAAGACUUGCUGGCUCAAGCUCGGAGGUGGAAGGGUCUGGAGGGAGUCCACUGGUACAGUAAGUGUUGGGGUCUGGAUGACCCCACACUCCUUUGAGCUUCAAAGGGUGUCCAGAUGCAAUGAAGCAUUGGGUUCGACUUGGGGUCCACGUGGUUUGUGCCUCAGAGUCCAAAACCACCUGCAUUCUACCGGUGGCGUCUGCAGAAGAUGAAUGGCUUGAAGGAGCUGGCACUCCGCCGGCUAGAUGAUCCAAACCAUUUCAUUUCUUUGUC